UCUCCGUUGGUGAACCAGCGGAGGGAUCAUUACAGAGUUUUCACAACUACCAACCCUCGCGAACCGUACCCAUUCCGUUCUCGAUGCUUAAGGCGGGGGGGAAGGGGGGGGCCGAAACGGACUACACGCCCCGCACGGCGGGGGCGGCGGGGGCAAAGAAGAUAUAUAUAAAAACCAUCAGAAACGGAUGGAGAAAAAAAAAAAAAAAAUCAAAACUAUCAACAACGGAUAACUUGGCACUCGCAUCGAUGAAGAACGAAGCAGAAGGGAAGAGGACAA
rnacentral:misc_RNA from 1 species